GCUGGGCAUGGUGGCGCGUGCCUGUAAUCCCAGCUACUCAGGAGGCUGAGGCAGGAGAAUUGCCUGAACCCAGGAGGCGGAGGUUGCGGUGAGCCGAGAUCGCGCCAUUGCACUCCAGCCUGGGCAACAAGAGUGAAACUCCGUCUUCAAAAAAAAAAAAAAAAAAAAAAGAUGUAGUCUCUCUCUGUUGCCCAGGCUAGAGUGCAGUGGUGCGAUCUCAGCCCACCGAAACCUCUGCCUCCCGGGUUCAAGCAAUUUUCCUGCCUCA
rnacentral:SRP_RNA from 1 species